UUGGAGAUCUGGAGAUCUGGAGAGAACCAAAGUUCCUUAUUGAUGCCAGAGUGUGGCAAAAGAAGAGAUGCUACAAAUGCCCGCCAGGAACGAAGCUACAUUAGAGAAUGUAGCUUCCCGCGAGCCCCCUCGUCGCCCCCGCAAGAUCUAAAGAGCCUAACUAGACCCACAAACCAAAAGAGAGAGAACAUACCCAACCAAGAGAGAGAGAGAGAACCUCUUCACAGUAGCAAGAAUGCUGGCUGGAAACCCAAUAGAGAUCUCGAAGAACAAGCAUCGGCUAUGAAGCGAUCGAUCCCUCCGCCCUCUUGAUCCGAAAGUCUUUUAUGACGAACACACCAAAGACGAGUUUUCUUUCUUUUCUUUCUUGCUGCCACUGCUGCUGCUGCUGCUGCUGCUGAUACUGCUGCUGCCGAGCUGAUAGAUUGACCGAGAAGAUCGAGAGAAUAGAGAGAGGAGAGAGCGCGACGAGAACAAUUUUUUUUUCUUUUCCACUUUCAUUUCAAAGAGAGACCUCGAACGAACGAACGAGCGACGAAGGAAGAAUGAUCAUGAUCAUCAGUAAGUGUGGUAUGGAUCCUGCGUGAGCAAUUGCCGGGUCGCGUGCUCCAAGCGGCUGCCAAGAUCCAGGACUUGCUGCUGCUGCUCCAGGCUGAGAUCGUCCACCUCGAGGCCGCCGCCACCAAACGACUUGGUCAGGCGCGCGGCCUCCGCCACCGCCAGCAACACCACCACCAACAUCACCACCGCGAGCACCUUGUUCAGCACCUUCCCGGCCUCCAUUUCUCCGCUUCCUGGAUGAUGGGCGAUUCGAUCUGCUCUGGAAAAGAGGGGAGAGAGAGCUCUCGAGCUCCAAACACCUGUGAGAGUGAGAGAGAGAUCUAGCUCGCUCGAAGAACAAAAGUGAGAGAGAAAGAGAUCGUCUUCUUCUUCGCUUGCUUCCCUGAUUUGCUUUGCUCGCUUUGAUCCUUCACUCUAGCUAGAACUUUGGCGUGGUGCGCGCGAGCUCUCGAGCUCUCGAGCUCUUUUCUUUCAGAGGGUUAAAG
rnacentral:lncRNA from 1 species